rnacentral:lncRNA from 1 species
CAAACAUGCAUGGGUAUCUUAGAAUAAAGAAGAGAUGAUUUCACUCUAAGGAAUUUAGCUUCUGAUUAUAAUAUGAAAUUUCUUUAAAAUCAUAUGAGUAUCUCUUAAAAGCAGUACAUCAAGAUCUGUCCUUUGGCCCUCACCAGGGAAGAAAUGACCUGUCAUUUCAGUCUUUAAUAGGAAAAUAUAUACCUAGCCUGAAGUUUGUGAAAAGUGUUUUAUUAGUGGGGAAGAGUGAUGGCUUAUUAUAAUUAAUUCUUUCCUCAAGGCCAUACCUCUAAAAAUAAGAGACAAAGACUAUUAAGGGGAAUGUAGUUACAAUCAGAGGAGGAUAUGCAUAUUUGGUAGCACCUCUUUACUUAACAUACCUGCUUCUUUCACAUUUCCUGACUUCUCCACUAGUCAAAGCAGAGGGCUCAUUGUUUGCAGGAUCCCAAUGAAGAAUUCAUUAGCAUACCAUCAUUUCAUGACCUGGAAUAAGGCUUGUGGCAGUUAUUUAUUGGCCAGUACCAGAAAUGGACACUUUAGAUUUAUGGAGUGUGAUGAUUAAUUUUACGUGUCAACUUGACUGGCCAUGGGGUGCUCAGACUCUUGGACAGACAGUAUUCUAGAUGUGCCUGUAAGGAUGUUUCUGGAGGAGAUUCACACCUGAGUCAGUAGACUGGGUAAAGCACAUUGUUCUCCUUAAUUUGGAUGGACCUCAUCGAAUCAUUUAAAGGCUGGGAUAGAACAAAAAGCUUGAGUAAGAAGGAAAUCCACCCGCUUGACUGCCUUUGAACUGGGACAUCUGCCUUUUCUUGCCUUCUGAUGUGAACUGAAGCAUUUGACACUUCCUGGGUCUCAAGUCUGCCAGCCUUCAGAGUUACACUAUUGGCUCUCCUGCUGUUCAGGCCUUUGGGCUCAAACAAGAAGUAUACCAUUGGUUCUCCUAACUUUCCAUCAUGCUGACUUUCCCUGCAGGUAUUGGGACUUGGAAGUCUUCAUAAUGUCUUUCUGUAAAUCAAUAUGUACAUUCAAUUCGUCUGUUUCUCUGGAGAACACUGACUAGUACAUAAAUUAACCUUCCCACAAGGAGCCACUUUAAUUUGCACACUUGACUAAGGUCAGAUUUUAGGAGGGUGAGAGUGGAGUAAGGCCUAAAAUUAAGGCUAAAUAAUUUGUAAUACCUUGAAAUAUAGAACUGAGAGGGUCUUGAAUGGCCCAACUGCAGGUUACCUCCCUACUUUGAUCCUGCAAAUAUGGUCCCCCAGCCAAACAACUCCCUUGUCACAUCUGACCUGAAGAGGAUUUUCUAAUUCCUUGACAGCCUGUAGAAUUAUACAGACAAACCAAUAAUAUCCUCCUACAGAACCAGGAAUCAUCCCACCCUCUUGGUAUUACAAAGUCAGCCUCCUGAACAUACUCUGGUUGUUUAUUCAGUUUCCCUAUGUCCCUACCGGCAAAUAGUGACCCUUUCUCUGGUCUGUGACUAUAUGUGAAGAAUAAAUUGCUAUCAUUUAUGUCUGUCCA